GUUUCCACAAGUUUCAGGAUGAAUAGGUAGUGCAAACAGACAGCAGUAAUGAAAGAAGGCCUAUUAAAAAUGGGCAAGAAACACUAAGCAUUAACCUGCUUUCCCUUGCAGCCAUUCCAUCUGCUGGCACCAGGAGUAUCUGCAGAUCUGUCCUUUCCAAAUCAGGUCCAGCCAGAGAGAGGAUGACAGGAAAAAGUAGAUUACAUAAGACAGAAAAAAAAAAAAAAAGAACUAAUAAAGUUUAGUUAUUUUCUUUGCUUAUACAACAAACAGUUUCAAAUUCAAGAUCUAACUGAACAUUCCUACAUUAGGGGAAAAAAAUUAAAAAAAAAAAAGAAAAGAAAAGGUGCUGUUUUAGCAGCAAAGAAUAAAAGCCAUAUUCUGGCAAUGGUUGAAUUUCCUGUGCAUGUGAGAUAGGAAAAGAGAAAGCAAUAGAGCUUCGAAAACACUUUUUUUUCCUUCUAUAAGAAAAUGUCGCAAAAGGAAAGCCCCAUUGCUGUGAAAAAUUGUCAGUUAUUAUUUUCCUAUAGACAGAGACUUUAUUGACUGGACAUUAGAUACUGAGAGAGGUGAAGAUGUGAGCCUACAAUGAGGUCUGCCCAAAACUAAUUGUGCCUGGGGUUGGAUGGACGGCUUGGAAAAUGCUCUUCCUGUAAUCCGUCACAGGAAUCCUGUUGGUUCCCAUCACCAAGUUAAACAAAGCAUCCAGUGGCAUUCCUGGUGAUAGAGGAGCUGUCCACAAAAGACUUUACAAACCAAAUAAAUUUUUGUAUCUGCCUAGUGAGAUCUGGAGGAGGUCUAUAUUUCCAGGAAAGACAGAAAGGCUCCGAAGAAAUGUCGUGCAGGAGCAGAGAAACACAGGGGAACAUAUAAAAAUCACUGGGGGUACCACCAGAUGGCAAAAACCUGUAUUCACAACUGGGACAGAAUUUGUCACAGUGCCCCGCUGCUGGCAACUCCUGAGAACAAAAAGCACAGCAGAAGAAAGGCAGAAACAAUGCUCUCUCAGUAUCAACAGCUUGGUACUUCUACAGUAUUUACAGGGCAAUGCUGCCAAGACAUCGACCUCCAGCCAAGCCUAGAGAAUUAGUGAGGUUCAGCACAAUCCCCUUGUAAAAUCUGCUGGUGAGUCACUGUCACAAACAGCUUUCUGCUUGUUUUGCCAAUGAGGAAGAGGCAGGAAAGGGAUGAAUGAACUAAUGAAUAAAUGGUUUGCGUAUUUCUUUUCUCUAAUAUUC
rnacentral:lncRNA from 1 species